CCGCGGUAAUUCCAGCUCCAAUAGCGUAUAUUAAAGUUGCUGCAGUUAAAAAGCUCGUAGUUGAAUUUCGGGACCAUCAUGUCGGUCGUGCCUCGGUACGUACUGGCAUUGUUGGUUUCUCCCUUCUGACGAACCAUGAUGUCAUUUAUUUGGUGUUGUGGGAAAUCAGGACUGUUACUUUGAAAAAAUUAGAGUGUUUAAAGCAGGCUCACGCUUGAAUACAUUAGCAUGGAAUAAUGAAAUAGGACGUUUGAUUCUAUUUUGUUGGUUUCUAGGAUCGACGUAAUGAUUAAUAGGGAUAGUUGGGGGCAUUAGUAUUCAAUUGUCAGAGGUGAAAUUCUUGGAUUUAUUGAAGACUAACUACUGCGAAAGCAUUUGCCAAGGAUGUUUUCAUUAAUCAAGAACGAAAGUUAGGGGAUCGAAGACGAUCAGAUACCGUCGUAGUCUUAACCAUAAACUAUGCCGACUAGGGAUCGGAUGAUGUUAAUUUUUUAAUGACUCAUUCGGCGCCUUACG
rnacentral:misc_RNA from 1 species